rnacentral:rRNA from 1 species
UACCAGCACCCCGAGUGGUCGGGACGUUUAUUGGGCCUAAAGCAUCCGUAGCCGGUUCUACAAGUCUUCCGUUAAAUCCAACUGCUUAACAGGUGGGCUGCGGAAGAUACUAUAGAGCUAGGAGGCGGGAGAGGCAAGCGGUACUCGAUGGGUAGGGGUAAAAUCCGUUGAUCCAUUGAAGACCACCAGUGGCGAAGGCGGCUUGCCAGAACGCGCUCGACGGUGAGGGAUGAAAGCUGGGGGAGCAACCAGGGAUUAAGAAACCCGUGGUGAGUCCAAG